AUGGCCGCUGCCAUAGACAUGUACAAGUACAACACCAGCACGCACCAGAUCGGCUCCGCCGCCUCUGCUUCGGAUCAGGAGCUCAUGAAAGCACUCGAACCUUUUAUCACGAUUGCUUCCUCCUCUUCCUCUCACUACCCGUACCAGUACUACUCUUCUCCCUCCAUGACCCAAAAUUCAUACAUGGCCACCCCAUCGUCGUCCUACGCCUCCUCGUUCGCAGUCUCUCCUCUGCCCACCACCGCGCCCGCCUCGCCGUCUUUCUCGCAGCUUCCGCCGCUCUACUCCUCGCAGUAUGCCGCUUCGGGCAUGAACGGAUCCAUGGGGCUGGCCCAGCUCGGCCCGGCCCAGAUCCAGCAGAUCCAGGCCCAGUUCUUCGUCCAGCAGCAGCAGCAGCAGAGGGGCCUGGCUGGUGGCUCGUUCCUUGGGCCGCGCGCGCAGCCGAUGAAGCAGUCCGGGUCGCCGCCGCGCGCGUCCGCCGCGGCGCUGGCGCUGGCCGGAGUGGCGCCCGCGCAGUCCAAGCUGUACCGCGGCGUGCGGCAGCGCCACUGGGGCAAGUGGGUGGCGGAGAUCCGCCUCCCCAAGAACCGCACGAGGCUGUGGCUCGGCACCUUCGACACCGCCGAGGACGCCGCGCUCGCCUACGACAAGGCCGCCUUCCGCCUCCGCGGCGACCUCGCCCGCCUCAACUUCCCGUCGCUCCGCCGCGGCGGCGCCCACCUGGCCGGCCCGCUCCACGCCUCCGUCGACGCCAAGCUCACCGCCAUCUGCGAGUCCCUCGCCGCGCCCUCGUCCAAGAACUCGGAGCCGGAGUCCCCCAAGUGCUCGGCGUCGACGGAGGGCGAGGACUCGGCGUCCGCCGGGUCCCCGCCGCCGCCCACGCCGCCCGUCCCGGAGAUGGAGAAGCUGGACUUCACGGAGGCGCCGUGGGACGAGUCGGAGACCUUCCACCUGCGCAAGUACCCGUCCGUGGAGAUCGACUGGGACUCCAUCCUGUCGUGA
rnacentral:rRNA from 1 species